rnacentral:rRNA from 1 species
AGCGUCUCCAAGCUAUGGAAGAGACGCGGCACACAGCUCAGUAACACGUGGCUAACCUGCCCUUGGGACAAGGACAACUCCGGGAAACUGGGGCUAAUCCCUGAUAAGUGAGAACUUCUGGAAUGAAUUCUCGCUCAAAGGACGUCUAGACCAUGCUUCUAGGCGUCGCCCAAGGAGGGGGCCGCGACCGAUCAGGUUGUUGGUGAGGUAACGGCUCACCAAGCCUUUAACCGGUACGGGCCGUGAGAGCGGAAGCCCGGAGAUGGGCACUGAGACAAGGGCCCAGGCCCUACGGGGCGCAGCAGUCGCGAAAACUCCGCAAUACACGAAAGUGUGACGGGGCCAUCCCGAGUGCCAUCCGCUGAGGAUGGCUUUUCCCCAGUGUAUAAAGCUGGGGGAAUAAGGAGAGGGCAAGCCUGGUGUCAGCCGCCGCGGUAAUACCAGCUCUCCGAGUGGUGGGGAUGCUUAUUGGGCCUAAAGCAUUCGUAGCCUGCUUGGCAAGUCCUCCGUUAAAUCCAACGAUUCGAUCGUUGGGCUGCGGGGGAUACUGUCCGGCUAGGGGGCGGGAGAGGCCGACGGUAUCCUCGGGGUAGGGGUGAAAUCCUAUAAUCCCG